CGCCAGACUCCUACGGGAGGCAGCAGUGGGGAAUAUUGGGCAAUGGGCGCAAGCCUGACCCAGCAACGCCGCGUGAAGGAAGAAGGCCCUCGGGUUGUAAACUUCUUUUAUCAGGGACGAAACAAAUGACGGUACCUGAUGAAUAAGCCACGGCUAACUACGUGCCAGCAGCCGCGGUAAUACGUAGGGAGCAAGCGUUAUCCGGAUUUACUGGGUGUAAAGGGCGUGUAGGCGGGCAUGCAAGCCAGAAGUGAAAUCUGGGGGCUUAACCCCCAAACUGCUUUUGGAACUGCGUGUCUUGAGUGAUGGAGAGGCAGGCGGAAUUCCCAGUGUAGCGGUGAA
rnacentral:rRNA from 1 species